rnacentral:lncRNA from 1 species
UGCAGCGUGCCAUUGUCGUACGGAGGGGUGACUUGCAUUACAUCCUCAAGUACAAGCGUCUUGAAAAGCGCCACAAGAACAUGUCUGCGCACCUGCCCCCCCGCUUCAGACACACUGCAGCCCAAUCGCAUUUGUUUUCAGCAUGAAGCGGCCUGUCAGAAAGACGUGAGCUAAGCUGCUGGUGGUGCAGACCUUGAACCUGUUUACUGGGGGCUGAUGUCUAAACUCACAAUGGUCUGCAGAGCCCCUGCUGUGGACUUGUGGGCUGCUGAAAAUGCCAGUUGAGCGCUUGGUGAACCACAAAGCAUGUUCUGGUCUGCCUUCCCUUUGUCUAAUGCUUCCUUGUGUGCGAGCUGUCCUGAAAUUCAGCCUGCUGCUUCCAGGAAACUGAUGAGUAAAAUUAUCUCCCUUCACGAAACCCUAUCCACCAGCAUCCUGGGUAAAUGUGCAAAGGAAUUCCCCUUUGCCUUCCAGAGCUGUCCAAAUUGGGGAUAUUGUGACUGUUGGGGAAUGUCGAACCUAUCAGCCAGAUUACUGAUUCAACAUCUGCAAAGUCAUAAGGGCAGCUGGCACCAAGAAGCUGCUCCAGAAGUUUUAAAGGCAGCAAGUGGAGAAUGUUCAGAAUGAAUAAAGCUUUUCUUAAACCUAGGGAUUUCAUUACCAAAAAAACCAAAACCCACCAGGUUGGGGAUGCCAAAAUGUAUGAGAUAAUUUGACUGGGGACCGGGAUACCUCCCCCACUGGAAUUGCAGAUGGACCCAGGGGAGGCACUGCCAGGCCUAGGGUCAGGGAGGACCUAGUUAGGGAACUUUUGGAGGGGCUGUGCAUGUUUAAAUCAUAGUCAGAUGGCUACUGCCGGAGCCCUGGGAGAUCCCUAGGAUCCCAUGUAAGGCUGCUCUGGCCAUCCCAGAUGCUGGCCCCAGCCUCCCCUACCCCACCCAGAGCAACUUGCUGCAUGUCAAAAAUAUGUGCUGCUGCUCAUCCCUGGGGACUGCAUGCUCAUGGGGAUGUGCCCACUUGGAGUUAAAAAUAAAAUAGAACAAAAGGAAAGUGCUGCCA